GCAUGGCUGAAUUCUGUAUUACUCCUGAAAUAGUAACUGCAGUCAGACACCAUGCUAAAGUAUCAUUUUCACACACUGACUAAACAACACGAGAUGAGUUCUUUUUAUGCGGCUCAUUCUUAUGUCAGAGUGAAUACAGCA